CUGGUGGCUGCCUUGCUUGCUCCAGCACUGAGCACAGAUCCUGGCCUGGAAGCUGCAUUCAUGUCAGCUGGAUGGAGCAGGAGCUCCUGCUGCCCUGGCUGCUCUUCAUUGUGCCUGCGAAGUGUAUUUGAAUGGAAGUUCACUGCCCUCCUGGGCACCCAGAUUUGGUAACCAAACCCCAGAGGUGAGGAAGGACUCAGCAAGCAGACCCACGUGGGCAGUGCUGGAGGAUUAUGUGUAGCACUGCCUUAGAAUACAGCUUCAUCAGGAGAUGCCAAUGGUGUAAGAACGUGGAGCUGCAGUGGGUGCAAUGCUGUGGGGCUACACUGUGACUCCAUCAUUGUCCCUACCCUCCAUCACCACAGCAAUUUCCUUUGCCUGCCCACAGAUGCACACAUCUGGCUGUAAAGG